CGGAGGGAGCCCGGGGGGUGGGGGGGGGCGGCGGGGGGGCUCCCCCGAAAUCCUUGUCGCUGGAUGUCAUUUUCUCCAGCAGGUUGGAGAUGUGUUUCAGUUCACACAGGAUCUGUGAGCCCACUGAUGGACAGAGGAUAUCAGGAAUGUGCUGCAUCUUUAUCUGUCAGUGUAGAAAGAGCUAUACCAUGCAGCUUUACUCAGCUUAAAGUCACUUUGUCCUGCUGUGAAUAGUGGCACUCUGUGCGGCUGUGAUGGGCAUGGAUGGAAAGAAGGUGCUGUUUUGCAGCCCUAUCUUCCACUGGGAGGUCAUCAAAGUGUGCUGCCCAGACAGAACCAUUGUGAGAGCAGGAUCUAGUGUCUCUCAACUCUUUCUCAAAAUCUGUGCUGCCAAGGACCAGAGAACCAGAUGGAGAAGCACCUACUGUAGUCUGCCAGUCUUGUGUGUGGCCAAGUUUUUACUUUUAAAAUACAGGAUGUUAUCCCUUCCACGUUUGCCAUAA